rnacentral:rRNA from 2 species
CCAAAGUCAUGGUUAAGUGGGAAACGAUGUGGGAAGGCCCAGACAGCCAGGAUGUUGGCUUAGAAGCAGCCAUCAUUUAAAGAAAGCGUAAUAGCUCACUGGUCGAGUCGGCCUGCGCGGAAGAUGUAACGGGGCUAAACCAUGCACCGAAGCUGCGGCAGCGACACUGUGUGUUGUUGGGUAGGGGAGCGUUCUGUAAGCCUGUGAAGGUGUGUCGUGAGGCAUGCUGGAGGUAUCAGAAGUGCGAAUGCUGACAUAAGUAACGAUAAAGCGGGUGAAAAGCCCGCUCGCCGGAAGACCAAGGGUUCCUGUCCAACGUUAAUCGGGGCAGGGUGAGUCGACCCCUAAGGCGAGGCCGAAAGGCGUAGUCGAUGGGAAACGGGUUAAUAUUCCCGUACUUGGUGUUACUGCGAAGGGGGGACGGAGAAGGCUAUGUUGGCCGGGCGACGGUUGUCCCGGUUUAAGCGUGUAGGUGUGUGUUCCAGGUAAAUCCGGUUCACUUUAACACUGAGGCGUGACGACGAGGCACUACGGUGCUGAAGCAACAAAUGCCCUGCUUCCAGGAAAAGCCUCUAAGCAUCAGGUAACAUCAAAUCGUACCCCAAACCGACACAGGUGGUCAGGUAGAGAAUACCAAGGCGCUUGAGAGAACUCGGGUGAAGGAACUAGGCAAAAUGGUGCCGUAACUUCGGGAGAAGGCACGCUGACACGUAGGUGAAGUGAUUUACUCAUGGAGCUGAAGUCAGUCGAAGAUACCAGCUGGCUGCAACUGUUUAUUAAAAACACAGCACUGUGCAAACACGAAAGUGGACGUAUACGGUGUGACGCCUGCCCGGUGCCGGAAGGUUAAUUGAUGGGGUCAGCGCAAGCGAAGCUCCUGAUCGAAGCCCCGGUAAACGGCGGCCGUAACUAUAACGGUCCUAAGGUAGCGAAAUUCCUUGUCGGGUAAGUUCCGACCUGCACGAAUGGCGUAAUGAUGGCCAGGCUGUCUCCACCCGAGACUCAGUGAAAUUGAACUCGCUGUGAAGAUGCAGUGUACCCGCGGCAAGACGGAAAGACCCCGUGAACCUUUACUAUAGCUUGACACUGAACAUUGAGCCUUGAUGUGUAGGAUAGGUGGGAGGCUUUGAAGUGUGGACGCCAGUCUGCAUGGAGCCGACCUUGAAAUACCACCCUUUAAUGUUUGAUGUUCUAACGUGGACCCGUUACCCGGGUUGCGGACAGUGUCUGGUGGGUAGUUUGACUGGGGCGGUCUCCUCCUAAAGAGUAACGGAGGAGCACGAAGGUUGGCUAAUCCUGGUCGGACAUCAGGAGGUUAGUGCAAUGGCAUAAGCCAGCUUGACUGCGAGCGUGACGGCGCGAGCAGGUGCGAAAGCAGGUCAUAGUGAUCCGGUGGUUCUGAAUGGAAGGGCCAUCGCUCAACGGAUAAAAGGUACUCCGGGGAUAACAGGCUGAUACCGCCCAAGAGUUCAUAUCGACGGCGGUGUUUGGCACCUCGAUGUCGGCUCAUCACAUCCUGGGGCUGAAGUAGGUCCCAAGGGUAUGGCUGUUCGCCAUUUAAAGUGGUACGCGAGCUGGGUUUAGAACGUCGUGAGACAGUUCGGUCCCUAUCUGCCGUGGGCGCUGGAGAACUGAGGGGGGCUGCUCCUAGUACGAGAGGACCGGAGUGGACGCAUCACUGGUGUUCGGGUUGUCAUGCCAAUGGCACUGCCCGGUAGCUAAAUGCGGAAGAGAUAAGUGCUGAAAGCAUCUAAGCACGAAACUUGCCCCGA